ACAAGCAUUCGUUCUCCGCAAGAAUAUUUCUCUCCACAUAUCUGUUGUAAAAGAGUGAAAGACAAAUAAUAUUUUAAAGAACAUAUAAAGUUUUUUUUGAAAGCUGAAACAAGCCAAUAUUGUGAAUAAUCUUUUGUAUAACAUCUCUAACUAAAGCAAUAUCGUUAAAAUGGAUAAAGUUCAAGAACUUUCUGAAGCACUGCCUUUACCAAGUCAGCCAUUCUUAAACGUCGAAGUAAAUGAAUGCAAAGAAAGAUUGACGUCACUGGUCAUAUGUUGUGCUUCAACAGACUCACUUCUUCAAAUACCACUGUGCUGUCAAAACGUGAACAAAACCAUUUAUUCAAUUUAAUAAUAAGCAUUAACAUCUUAAUAGUAUUUACCACUUUAUUUUAGCACUAUCCCAGAGUAUAGAAUUAUAAAGCUUGUCAAAGACUUUCUUAUCAACAUG